rnacentral:rRNA from 1 species
UACGGAGGAUGCAAGCGUUAUCCGGAUUUAUUGGGUUUAAAGGGUGCGCAGGUUGUUUGAUAAGUAAGUGGUGAAAGUCUGUCGCUUAACGGUAGGAUUGCCAUUGAUACUGUUAGACUUGAAUAUGGAUGAGGUAGGCGGAAUGUGUAGUGUAGCGGUGAAAUGCAUAGAUAUUACACAGAACACCGAUUGCGAAGGCAGCUUACUAAUCCAUCAUUGACGCUGAGGCACGAAAGCGUGGGGAUCAAACAGGA